UACGGAGGAUGCAAGUGUUAUCCGGAAUCACUGGGCGUAAAGCGUCUGUAGGCGGUUUAAUAAGUCAACUGCUAAAUCUUGAGGCUCAACCUCAAAAUCGCAGUCGAAACUAUUAGGCUAGAGUAUAGUAGGGGUAAAGGGAAUUUCCAGUGGAGCGGUGAAAUGCGUAGAGAUUGGAAAGAACACCGAUGGCGAAGGCACUUUACUGGGCUAUUACUAACACUCAGAGACGAAAGCUAGGGUAGCAAAUGGG
rnacentral:rRNA from 1 species